rnacentral:rRNA from 1 species
GACGAACGCUGGCGGCGUGCUUAACACAUGCAAGUCGAACGGAAAGGCCCUGCUUUUGUGGGGUGCUCGAGUGGCGAACGGGUGAGUAACACGUGAGUAACCUGCCCUUGACUUUGGGAUAACUUCAGGAAACUGGGGCUAAUACCGGAUAGGAGCUCUUGCUGCAUGGUGGGGGUUGGAAAGUUUCGGCGGUUGGGGAUGGACUCGCGGCUUAUCAGCUUGUUGGUGGGGUAGUGGCUUACCAAGGCUUUGACGGGUAGCCGGCCUGAGAGGGUGACCGGCCACAUUGGGACUGAGAUACGGCCCAGACUCCUACGGGAGGCAGCAGUGGGGAAUAUUGCACAAUGGGCGGAAGCCUGAUGCAGCAACGCCGCGUGCGGGAUGACGGCCUUCGGGUUGUAAACCGCUUGCGCCUGUGACGAAGCGUGAGUGACGGUAAUGGGUAAAGAAGCACCGGCUAACUACGUG